UACGUAGGGUGCAAGCGUUAAUCGGAAUUACUGGGCGUAAAGGGUGCGCAGGCGGUUCUGUAAGUCAGAUGUGAAAUCCCCGGGCUUAACCUGGGAACUGCGUUUGAAACUACAGGACUAGAGUGUGGCAGAGGGAGGUGGAAUUCCAUGUGUAGCAGUGAAAUGCGUAGAGAUAGUGGAAGAACAUCGAUGGCGAAGGCAACCUCCCUGGGGUUAACA
rnacentral:rRNA from 1 species